GUGUCCGUAGCUCAGUUGGAUAGAGCGUCAGACUCCGACUCUGAAGGCCGCCGGUUCAAGUCCGGCCGGGCAUACCA
rnacentral:tRNA from 1 species